GAUCGGGUAUUCACCCGAAAAUCCGUUUUCGGGUCGAACAGCCGCUCGGUGGUGGCGAGGAAGGGUCCCGCAGAAAGAAAACCCAUUAGAUAUGGUUUGCGCUUAAAUGAAGCAAUCCUCCCUCUCUCUCUGUGUCGGUAACGAAAUGGAUAUUUGUUCGAUCCCCAGGUGAAAGACUCAAAAAACGCGUCGAAGGCAAUAGAUUAGAGACUGCGAGAGAGUAUAGUAUCAUAGAGUAAUGGUUAGAAGAGUACGAGAUGAGAACAAGGCCGAGAUCUUCUUCGUGGCUACCCUGGUGCUGUGGUUCGUUUCGGUUUUGUUCGAAGUAGUAUUCAACAAGCGGAAGGAGCUCCUCAGUAUACUCGCUGGCUGUUGCUUUUUUCAAACGGCCAACUGGUUCAUCCACUUUUUCUUCUCUCCGGAUCCUCUAUUCGUUAAUACUUCCGUCUCUCUCCUUCACUCAUCAAUCACCUCCGCCUCUGUGGUAUUCAUUUUGGUUAAUGAGUGGUUGAAAAAUGGAUCGUAUGGGAUGUUUGAUCACUCACAGUUGUUUGGGGGAACUUGGCCGUGGGCAUAUCCCACUUUGUGCUUCUCAUGUGGUUACUUUGCAUAUGAUCAGUGGGAUAUGCUGCAUUAUCGGUUAUACAAUGGUUGGAUCCCUGCCAUCUUAUUCCAUCAUCUGAUACUCCUGAUCUGUUUUUCUCUUGCUUUAUAUCGAAAUGUCACCAUCAACUACCUCAUUCUCACUCUCAUUUGUGAGCUGCAUUCUAUAUUUCUGCAUGUGAGGAAAGUGCGAAGAAUGGCUGGUAUUCGUGAUGCCAAGAGCAGAAUUGUGAGGUUAGAAUGGGUUCUUAAUUGGGUCACUUUCGUUGUAGCACGGCUGGUAUCUCAUGUGCUCAUCACCGUCAAGCUCCUCAGAGACGCACAUAAGUUUGGUCAGGGUGUCGAGCUGCCGCUUGCCUUAUUUGGGAUGGCUGGAAUGAAUUUGCUUAAUGUUUUUCUUGGCAUUGAUCUUUAUAAUGCUUUCAGGAGAGAGAAAAAUCCCCAAGGGAAUGGUCAUCGUCGCCAUCUUGAAGGAGAGAAGGAAGGCUAGAAAGAGUUGUAACUGUAUUUUUAUGUUCUAUCAUUCGUUAUAUUCUCUCUGUUCGAAAAGUCGUUGGAAAAAAAUGAACUUCGCAGUAACAAAAAACACCAAUUGGCCGAGUGGCUGAAAGAAAUGAAGAGUCUGGUAAGGUCCGAAAGAAGCCAGUCAAAGAAUGAAGAUGGAGAUAUUGAUUGAAGUCUAUCGGUCAAAGAGUCAGUGGAUGGAAGUGUGUUGGUAGCCGUGGGAUUACAUUGUGAGGAGUCUUCAGUUGCGCACACGUGGAGGCAUUAAUAUGAAUGUUAUAAAUGUAGCAGAAAUUACUACGGAGGACAUUGGUUGCAAUGACAACUUUAUUAGCUUUUAUAAUUGUAUUGUUGUUUAUAUUCAUGUUCGAUGUGUCAUCAUCUUAUUGGUGAGGACCACUUUCUGUUAGAACCCUACUGUAUGUAUGGGUAGAUGUUUUGAUAGAUCUUUUUUGCAUUAAUCGACAGUUAUUCUUCUCAA